rnacentral:rRNA from 1 species
ACAGACAACUAGGAUGUUAGCUUGGAAGCAGCUAUUCAUUCAAAGAGUGCGUAAUAGCUCACUAGUCGAGUGACCCUGCGCCGAAAAUGUACCGGGGCUAAGCAUACUACCGAAGCUGCGGAUUCAACUUUAGAGUUGAGUGGUAGGGGAGCGUUGCAUGCACGUAGAAGCUGUACCGUAAGGAGCAGUGGAGAGCAUGGAAGAGAGAAUGCCGGUGUGAGUAGCGAGAUGUAGGUGAGAAUCCUACACACCGAUAGCCCAAGGAUUCCAGGGGAAGGUUCGUCCGCCCUGGGUAAGUCGGGACCUAACGCGAGGCCGAAAGGCGUAGUGGAUGGAAAACAGGCAGAUAUUCCUGUACCCGCGAUGGAAAUGAAGGAAUGACGGAGAAGGCUAGUGUGAGCCACUUAGUGGAUUGUGGUCGAAGCAUAUAGCAGGCUGACAGUGAAAUGCGUCAGCGGGAUGUAAGAUGUGAUAGGUAAGGGAACGCCCUCGGGCAAGUACUGAAGCACAUGAUGCCAGCUUCCAAGAAAAGUUUCUAGUAUUAAUUCCAUAGCGGCCCGUACCAAAACCGACACAGGUGGGCAAGGAGAGAAUCCUGAGGUGAGCGAGAGAACUGUUGCCAAGGAACUCGGCAAAAUGACUCCGUAAGUUAGCGAUAAGGAGUGCUCUUGUAAAAGAGAGCCGCAGUGAAGAGGCCCAAGCGACUGUUUAACUAAAACACAGCUCUCUGCAAAGUCGCAAGACGAAGUAUAGGGGGUGACGCCUGCCCGGUGCUGGAAGGUUAAGAGGAUUUGUCAUCCGCAAGGAGAAGCAAUGAAUUGAAGCCCCAGUGAACGGCGGCCGUAACUAUAACGGUCCUAAGGUAGCGAAAUUCCUUGUCAGGUAAGUUCUGACCCGCACGAAAGGCGUAACGAUUUGGGCGCUGUCUCAGCUGUAGACUCGGUGAAGUCUUAGUACCUGUGAAGAUGCAGGUUACCCGCGACUAGACGGAAAGACCCCAUGGAGCUUUACUGUAGCUUGAUAUUGGACUUUGAUGCAAGAUGUACAGGAUAGGUAGGAGACUGAGAGACAUGCACGCCAGUGUGUGAGGAGUCAAUGUUGGGAUACUACUCUUCUUGUAUUGGAGUUCUAACCGGAUGCCAUGGAACUGGCAACGGGACAGUGUCAGGUGGGCAGUUUGACUGGGGCGGUCGCCUCCCAAAGAGUAACGGAGGCGCCCAAAGAUACCCUCAGCUUGGAUGGAAAUCAAGCGCAGAGUGCAAAGGCAUAAGGGUGUUUGACUGCGAGACCUACAAGUCGAGCAGGGACGAAAGUCGGGCUUAGUGAUCCGGCGGUGCUGAAUGGAAAGGCCGUCGCUCAACGGAUAAAAGCUACCCUGGGGAUAACAGGCUGAUCUCCCCCAAGAGUUCACAUCGACGGGGAGGUUUGGCACCUCGAUGUCGGCUCAUCGCAUCCUGGAGCUGAAGUCGGUUCCAAGGGUUGGGCUGUUCGCCCAUUAAAGCGGUACGCGAGCUGGGUUCAGAACGUCGUGAGACAGUUCGGUCCCUAUCUGUCGUGGGCGUAGGAAGUUUGAGAAGAUCUGUCCUCAGUACGAGAGGACCGGGAUGGACAUAUCAAUGGUGCACCAGUUGUCACGCCAGUGGCACAGCUGGGUAGCUAAAUAUGGAAGGGAUAAACGCUGAAGGCAUCUAAGUGUGAAACCCACUUCAAGAUGAGACUUCCCAUUACGCAAGUAAGUAAGACCCCUUAAAGACGAUAAGGUUGA